CAGCGGCUCCAACCACAACAACCACAGCUCCAACCACAACAACCGCAGCGGCUUCAACCACAACAACAGCUGCUCCUACCACAACAACAUCAGCUCCAACCACAUCCACAGCGGCUCCAGCAAUAAUCCGUUUUCUCACUUUUAAAUCUAAUGAAAAUUUCACCUCUGAUUUGGGAGAUCCAUCAUCAUCAGCAUUCCAAUCACGCUCUGAACUCAUAAGGAAUCGUCUUGGCACACUUUUCAGAAGAGCUUUCCCCUCAUUCCGAAAGACUGGAGCUAUGACAUUCAGGGCUGGAUCAAUUAUCAACUCUGUGGACCUUGAAUUUGAGUCAUCAUCUACUCCUAAUAAUACACUAAUUGAAGAGACUUUGGUUAAUGAGGCUUCAAACAUCACGGAAUUCAACGUAAUAGCUGACACCAUUGCUAUUAGUGACCAAGAUACAACUACGACUUCUCCAACGACGUUGACAUCUGGUCCAACAACAACCACUGUAGCACCAACCACCACAACAGCUGCUCCAUCCACAACA